UAUGGUCAUAUCAUGUUGAAACACCAGGUCCCAUACAAUCACUGAAGUUAAUCAAUGUUGAACCAUGUCAGUAUCCAGAUGUGUGACUGCUUGAGAAUACCAGGUGCUGUAA